AUGUUGCCAGCACGUUAUGGUGGGGACUCGUAAGAGACUGCCGGGGUCAACUCGGAGGAAGGUGGGGACGACGUCAAGUCAUCAUGCCCCUUAUGUCCAGGGCUUCACACAUGCUACAAUGGCCAGUACAGAGGGCUGCGAGACCGUGAGGUGGAGCGAAUCCCUUAAAGCUGGUCUCAGUUCGGAUCGGGGUCUGCAACUCGACCCCGUGAAGUCGGAGUCGCUAGUAAUCGCAGAUCAGCAACGCUGCGGUGAAUACGUUCCCGGGCCUU
rnacentral:rRNA from 1 species